rnacentral:rRNA from 1 species
UACGUAGGUGGCAAGCGUUGUCCGGAUUUAUUGGGUUUAAAGGGUGCGUAGGCGGCCUUAUAAGUCAGUGCUGAAAUAUCCCGGCUUAACCGGGAGGGUGGCAUUGAUACUGUAGGGCUUGAGUGUAGUCGAGGUAGGCGGAAUUGACGGUGUAGCGGUGAAAUGCAUAGAUAUUGUCAAGAACUCCGAUUGCGAAGGCAGCUUACUAGACUGUAACUGACGCUGAGGCACGAAAGCGUGGGGAUCAAACAGG